rnacentral:lncRNA from 1 species
UGCCUCAUCUCGGGCUUAAGCUUUGCAGUAAUUUGGAUUUAUUUUUGCUUUAUGUUAGCUUGAUUUUGACUUUGGUUCACUAUGAUUUUGAUUUCAGCUUGGCCCUAUUUUUUUUCCUUUGAUCUUGCAAGAAGAAAAAGAGAAAAAAUAGCAGAUGGAAGCUCAAGAGUCCUUUACCAGAAGUUUUUAUUUGAGAACUCGUGAGUUCUACUUGACUGCUUGUUGUUCGGCUCGAGCUUGAUCUAUAUUUUGGAUCACUUUAAUUUUAUGUGAAAAUCAGGCUUUCUUUCCCUUCUUUUCUUUUUUUUUUUGAUCAACAUUGAUCUGGGCUAUUAGGGAUGCUCAUAGGUCACCUCGGUGUUGUCUAAGGCUGAAUGCAUAUGGAGACCUUAUGUCAGGUUGGUGGAUAACACAUGUUAGUUGUUACAAGAAAUUAUUAAUCCAUGAGUAAGUCUCCUGUUUGGCCCAUUGUAGGUUCUGGGUGGAUGGCACUGUCUUAUUUUUUUGUCUGCAUAUGGGAUAGGAAUGACC